AUUGAACGCUGGCGGCAUGCCUUACACAUGCAAGUCGAACGGUAACGGGCCUUCGGGUGCCGACGAGUGGCGAACGGGUGGGUAAUGCAUCGGAACGUACCCAUCAGUGGGGGAUAACUCUCCGAAAGGAGGGCUAAUACCGCAUAUUCUGUGCGCAGGAAAGCGGGGGACCGCAAGGCCUCGCGCUGAUGGAGCGGCCGUUGGCAGAUUAGCUAGUUGGUGGGGUAAAGGCCUACCAAGGCGACGAUCUGUAGCGGGUCUGAGAGGAUGAUCCGCCACACUGGGACUGCGACACGGCCCAGACUCCUACGGGAGGCAGCAGUGGGGAAUUUUGGACAAUGGGGGCAACCCUGAUCCAGCCAUGCCGCGUGAGUGAAGACGGCCUUCGGGUUGUAAAGCUCUUUCGGCCGGGAAGAAAUCGCAUCUCCUAAUACGGGGUGUGGAUGACGGUACCGGAAUAAGAAGCACCGGCUAACUACGUGCCAGCCGCCGCAGUAA
rnacentral:rRNA from 1 species